GUGUAUUCAUUCACUUGGCAAACAACAAAGUAUGUGCAGGAGCACCAAAGCAGCAACAGGAAUGCGACCCUGUGUCCUUCCCAAGUGUGGGAAGAGAUGGCCAAGACAUCCAUCUCCACACAUCUCCUCCUCUGAGACAGCACCCUGUCCUGUGACUGAUACAAUUCAGAGCUAAAGACUGUGAACCAGUUCUAUUACAUCCUGCCAUCUUCGGAACCCCGGGCACUGUUUCGCUUCAAGGCUAAGAUAAGAAAGUGACUCGGGAAUAGCUGACUGCCUUUGUUUCACAUUUCUGUAACUUGCUUGAAUGCCAAAGACUGCAUAUAAGGGACCCUCUUCUCAACGUGGUUUGUUCAGCCAUUUUGGGAUACAGAGUCUGCUGGGCUUGUGUAUACACCUUAAAUAAAAUCCCCCUA
rnacentral:lncRNA from 1 species